rnacentral:rRNA from 1 species
AUAAAGUGGAUUAGCGGCGGACGGGUGAGUAACACGUGAGUAACCUGCCUUAGACAUUGGGAUAGCCUCGGGAAACCGGGAUUAAUACCAAAUAAAAUCAUAAUGACACAUGUCAUAACGAUCAAAACUCCGGUGGUCUAAGAUGGACUCGCGUCCCAUUAGCUAGUUGGUAGAGUAAAAGCCUACCAAGGCGACGAUGGGUAGCCGGCCUGAGAGGGUGAACGGCCACAUUGGAACUUAGAAACGGUCCAA